rnacentral:lncRNA from 1 species
AUUAUAAGAGCCUAAUGAACUCAUUCAAAAAGUACUUGUUUCCAUUCUACACUAUGUGAUAUAAGCCAUUUCUAGUGGGAUAAUGAUAAACAAAUAUUCCUUUACAAUAGAGCUGACCUUAGGUUUUUGGCAACCCAAGCAACUAACAAAAUGGAUGCCCCAUAAUAUAAUUGUUUUUAGUGUAACAACACAAAAAAUAUGCAGUAUGUGUGGAAAAAAUUAUUAUGUUGUUUUGUAUUGUUGUACAAGACAAAACAACAUAAUUUUUGAAAAAAACCAUGAGAAAUCCUUAAUUCUAGAUAUCUU